UACGGAGGGGGCGAGCGUUAUUCGGAAUUAUUGGGCGUAAAGGGCGCGUAGGCGGCCCGGUAAGUCAAAGGUGAAAUCCCUCGGCUCAACUGAGGAACUGCCUUUGAAACUGUCGGGCUUGAGGCCGGGAGGGGGUAGCGGAAUUCCCAGUGUAGCGGUGAAAUGCGUAGAUACUGGGAGGAACACCAGUGGCGAAGGCGGCUACCUGGACCGGCUCUGACGCUGAGGCGCGAAAGCGUGGGUAGCAAACAGG
rnacentral:rRNA from 1 species